GAGAUUGUGUCCCAGCUGCCAGAGGCAGCUUCAGGGACAGGGAGACAGGGCUCUUUGGUCUCCACAUUAGUUUAACCCCUACCCCCCCCUCUUCCUCAAUUAACCCCUUCAAUGCUGCGAUUGUUUAUGACCCCCAUCGCAGCAUUGCAGGGGUUAAUAUUAGUCCCCACAAGCUUGUGGGGACUAAAUAUCAAUCAAUGCUGUGCUUCAAUGGAGCAUCAGCAUUGAAAGAGUUAAAAAAAAAAAAAUUAAAAAAUUA